GUGAAAUUGUUGAAAGGGAAACGAUUGAAGUCAGUCAUGCCGACGGGAAUCAACUUAGAGGAAACUCUGGGUGCACUUCUUCGUUUGGCAGGUUAGUGUCGAUUUUGGAUGUCAUAAAAUAAUUGGGGGAAGGUAGCUCUUUCGGGAGUGUUAUAGCCCUUGGUAGAUGUGAUGUCUGGGAUCGAGGAUUGCAACGGAUACCCUUCGGGGCUAACCGCCUGAUCUCUGAUGGUUGCUCUGGUACCGAAAGCGUGCUUACGGUCAUCAAAGUUGAUUGUCAAAAGGUUAGAACGGGUUAAAUUCGUUAAGGAUGUUGACGUAAUGGCUUUAAACGAC
rnacentral:rRNA from 1 species